UCAGUCACCACUCACCAGCACUGGUCCAGCAAAUGCAAACCUAUUAGCUAAUGCAUACGAUAAUUAGGCGAUAAUAAAAUCGUUGUGAGCACGGAAGUAUAAAAAAAUUGCUGUGGGUCACUGUUUGUACCUCCUUUCUCCUUUAGUACCUAAUACUGUUUAGGUCUUAAGUCUCAACAUAACUACGUCUUCGCAAUUCCAAAUUAAGUUCCUGGCUAAUCCUGCACGCUAUCAGGUUAUCAUUGAAUUUCUUAGUUUAAUCAGACACAGAUAGAACUGCAAUGUAUCGUAACUAGUGAUCACGAGAUUCACGAGCAUUAGCAGUAGUUGCGUAUCAAACACAAGAUCCAGCAAAAGAUGUCUUUAGGCGGCGCAAAGUACGUAUGGGUAGAGGCAAAGCAAGAACAGGAACUAACAGAGAAUGUGAAGAUGGAAUUUAAAUCAGAGCCGAAGGAGAUGUGUGUUGUCGAUGAAAUAGCUGGGGCUGGCUUGUACGUAAAGCAAGAGGAGCCUGAGAGUGUACAAGAUGGGCAUUUAAAGCAGGAACCAGAGGUUAAGGCAGAAGCUGAGAACUUGGCUGAUAUAUUUGAACCAGCUUUGCAAGCCGGCUUAUGCAAUGGCCAGGAAAGCGCACUUUGUCACAUGGACCCUGUAGUGAAGGCAGUAUUGAAGGAAGAGGCUGAAAGAGUUGGCUCGGAGCAUGAGAGUAAAUACAGUAGUUGGAUAGAGCCUGUGGUUCUAGAUUAUGAAUUUGAGAGUGAGAAGACUGUGAGUAGUAUGAGCACGGCAGAGCAGGCAGGCCUUUAUCUGAAACAUGAGGUUGAAGAUGGGCUAGUGGUGGGCCCCGAGGAAUACCAUAGAGCAACACUCAACAAGCAAGCAGCAUGGAAUCCAGCACCAGAUAAAACCUGCACUGUUAGUCUGGAGCGCAUGCAUAUAGACAUGGAGCGCUCAGUGUGCAGAGUCGGACCCAAUACUUACAAGUUUAUACUGUGCAGUCAUCAGGAAAAUGAUACAAGUCCAAAAGAAGGGUCAAUGACACACACUUUAACGAAACAAAUGACGAGUGGAUGCGGCUGGUUGACGAGUUGAGUGACUGUGAUAUGGAUGUGGAUCAAGACGACGAAGCAGUUAGCCACAUUGCGAAUAUGUCAGCGCGCAACGCUUUAAUAGGACCUGCCACAGAAGCUGAUUUAACAGAUUUUGAGGUCCAAGUGCUGGCGGCAGAAGACCAACUAAACGACCAGGCACUACGCGAAAUAGUAUCUACGGCCGACUACAAUUUUGAGUGGGACGAAGAUAUACGAAUAUUUAAAGGACAGAGAGAAAUAUUUACAGCUUCUUCAGGACCGACAUUCCAAGUAACAGAUCAAACCCGUGCCGUAGAUAUUUUUUAUAAAAUGUGUGACAGUGACUUACUGGACCUACUUUGCUUGGAGACAAAUAGGUACGCGAGCCAAAAAAUUACUUUACUUAAAACUGCUAACAAGCUAUUACCCAACUCGCGGCUGCAUCGUUGGACUCCGAUCGAUAAAGACGAAAUGAUCAGCUUUCUUGCGCUCACUAUCUUGCAAGGGCUAUACCCCCUUCCAGAUGAGCAGUCAUACUUUUCAUUUAUUGGUUUUGGCUCGAUGCCGUACUUUUCCAGAAUAAUGUCCUACAACCGAUAUUUUUUAAUAAAAUCGUUGCUACAUUUCGUAGAUAAUGAAAAUUUAACAGAACUUACAAAGUUAAGUAAAAUUCAACCAAUAACGGAUUACUUCAACGAAAAGUUUUCUAGCCUGUACUAUCCUGGUCAGGAGGUGGUUAUUGACGAAACUCUACUGAAAUGGCACGGACGGUUAGGCUUUGCCCAAAAAGUUCUGUCAAAGGCUGCUCAAGUAGGUGUAAAGACUUUCGAACUUAUGCGAGUCGUCUAGUGGUUAUCUGUGGAAGUUUUUUGUAUCUGCUGGAAACACUAAGGCUAUGAAUACUCCCCCCGUAGGAGACGAUAUGACUGAACUUGUACUUACACUCCCAUGACAUGACUAGUCCUGAAAACGACACCAACGCGACUGCAAAAAUCAUUUACGACUUGGUAGAACCGCUACUUCACAAAGGCCAUACAUUAAUUAUGGACAGUUUUUAUAACUGUCCUUUACUGGCGCGGUUUCUGAAACGACAAAAUACUGACUGUUACGGCACACUUCGACUUAACCGUGAAUUUGUUCCCGAUUCCCUUAAAGAUUUAAACAAUUCAGACCUCCGACGCGGUGAAGUGGUGGCUAGUUAUUGUCCCGACUUGUCUGUGACUGUAUGGCGGGACGCAAACAUAGUUAGCUUCAUAUCCACUUACCAUUCCUUACAAGUUGGAACAAAAACCAAGUACAACGGAGUGACGUCCAAACCUAGCAUCGUUCUGGACUACAAUAAGUCAACGGGAGGAACUUAUAGGAAGGAUCAAUACCUGUCUGGUCAUCUUACAAUAAGAAACAAAAACAGAGUUUGGUAUAAAAAGCUUUUCCGUCGCAUGUUUCAUGCGGCCAUAUUUAACUGUUUUGUCAUAUUUGCCAAAUCGAAUCCAAAAAUAAACCAUCGACAAUUCAGAACAAUGCUGGCAGAGGACCUGCUGAAAAUACAUCGGCAAAUCGACCUGACUGGUGAAAGGAGACUUCUAACUAGAAGGUCUGGGCUGACGACAACGAUAUCUGCUACCAGACAGAAAACCCACCAGAGGCCUCAGCUGGAGCACCGGCACUUCCCGACGCGUACCGGCUUUAAGCAAAGUCGGUGUUGGCUGUGUGCCCAGCGCAAGGUCACCACUAGGACCGUUUGGAAAUGCAUGGAAUGCGAUGUCAACCUUUGCAUCGAACAAUGCUUUAUGAAUUAUCACAUUAAACCGUAGCAUUAGUCGGCGCGGCUGGAGCGGACGCGGAGCCGGCGCCGUCAGUGUCCUUGCGCGCCAGACAGCAGCUCGCGAUGGCUUGCUGCGUGAGGCUCACGCGCCUCCGCGACUACGACUCUCCGCACGCGAGCCAGUCCGCCACUGUGCAGCGGAAGCCCCGCACACAACCCUACACCUGCGAUACUCGCCAGGCGCACUUCACACACAAGUCUAAGUUACUCACACAUAUACAGAACCUUUGUAAACGAAAAAACAAACUUGAAAUCCUCUUAGUUAAGCGCACUAGAAUGGAACCUCAUGUAUGUCACGUGUGUAAAAAGUGGUUUAUACUAAAAGAAAAUUUAAAAACACAUUUGAAAAUUCACAGUGAAUUUAAAUUUUACUCAUGUAACUUAUGUCGCAAGCGAUUUACACGAGAAGAAAGCUUAAUUAUGCAUACAAGAAUCCACACUGGAGAGAGGCCAUAUACAUGUAAGAUUUGUAACAUGCGGUAUACACAAAAAGGGAGUUUAAACGCACAUAGAAAAAAAGCCCAUGACGGAACCUUAUCAAAGGUUUAGCCUACGACAUGCAUUUAACACAGAAAAAAAAAUAGUUGGAUUAAAAUCAUUGUGGAGAAAAUAAGAACCAGUUUCCAUCACAGUCGGAGUUAGACAGACACAAGAGGAUCCACUCCGGAGAGGAGUCGUACGAGUGCGAGAUAUGCGAAUCUUUAUUUUAUUUUGUUUCAUGGAAAACCAACAGCGCUAUACACCGUGUUUCACUUAACACUGAAAACCUGAAAACCGUUCAGAAUCGAGAGUAGAAUCGAUUGAGCUAUAUCUU